GUCGAACGGAGAAAUAGCUUCGGUUGUUUUCUUAGUGGCGGACCGGUGAGUAACACGUGAGGAACCUGCCUUUGAGAGUGGGAUAGCUUCUGGAAACGGAUGGUAAUACCGCAUAACAUAGCAAAACCGCAUGAUUUUGCUAUCAAAGUAUUUCGCUCAGAGAUGGCCUCGCGUCUGAUUAGAUAGUUGGUGAGGUAACGGCUCACCAAGUCGACGAUCAGUAGCCGGACUGAGAGGUUGAACGGCCACAUUGGGACUGAGACACGGCCCAGACUCCUACGGGAGGCAGCAGUGGGGGAUAUUGCACAAUGGGGGAAACCCUGAUGCAGCGAUGCCGCGUGGAGGAAGAAGGUUUUCGGAUUGUAAACUCCUGUCGUAAGGGAAGAGGAAGGACUGUACCUUACAAGAAAGUUCCGGCUAACUACGUGCCAGCAGCCGCGGUAAUACGUAGGGAGCGAGCGUUGUCCGGAAUGACUGGGUGUAAAGGGAGCGUAGGCGGGAUGGCAAGUCAGAUGUGAAACCUGAGGGCUCAACCUUCAGACUGCAUUUGAAACUGCUGUUCUUGAGUGAAGUAGAGGUAAGCGGAAUUCCUGGUGUAGCGGUGAAAUGCGUAGAGAUCAGGAGGAACAUCGGUGGCGAAGGCGGCUUACUGGGCUUUUACUGACGCUGAGGCUCGAAAGCGUGGGGAGCAAACAGGAUUAGAUACCCUGGUAGUCCACGCUGUAAACGAUGAUUACUAGGUGUGGGGGGAUUGACCCCUUCCGUGCCGCAGUUAACACAAUAAGUAAUCCACCUGGGGAGUACGACCGCAAGGUUGAAACUCAAA
rnacentral:rRNA from 1 species